rnacentral:pre_miRNA from 1 species
AUUGAGAGAGCUAGGGUGAGGCAUGGCAUGACUAGGACAGGAGCAGAUGAAGUCUACUUCUGUCAUUCUCAUGCACUGCCUCUUCCCGGGCUCCCCCAAC